rnacentral:lncRNA from 1 species
AAACACGAGGAGAGAGCCCUGGUUGGUUGGCUCCAGGUGUCCUGGAUCUCAGGGGAGAUCCCUCACAGGCUGGAGUGAGUUCAGAGGUAAAGCAGGGCCCAGAGCAUCGGGCCAAGGAGAGCAAUGGUCACAGGCAUUGGAGAGAGGACACAGGGAAUGGGAAUGAUCAUGCAGCUUCCCUCCAACAGAGCAAGGGUGAAAAACCAGGUUUGCUCCUUUCGCUGUAGAAUGGGGUAAGUUGAUCUGUCCAUUGAGGGGAAACUUGGGGGGACAUGUAGCCAAGCCUUGGCCCUGGCCAUCCCCGUGGGGCUGAGCAUUGUUGUUCUAUGAUUAAGACAACACUCCCUGUCCCUACCAUCCCUCAGAGAAGAACAAGUGUUUGUGACUCACAGUGACUGUGACUCCAACGUGGGGGAGCUCUCUGACUUCUGUGACCAAAAUACAUGAGAGAUAACUUACAGGAGGAAAAGUCUGUUUGGGCUGCAGUUUUGUUAAAUUUCAGCCUGUGGUCAUCUGGCGUUUAGACCUAGGGCAAAGCAGAAUCAUCGGGACUAGGACAGAAGGGUGUGGUAGAGAAAAGGGGGGAAGGGAAAGGGAAGCGCUAAGCGCAAGACAGACCUACAAAGCCACGCUCCUCCUGCUGCAUCCUCCAACCAGGCUCCACUUUCUGCUAGGCCAGCCCGCUAUGAACUCAUCCAUGAGGUUAGCACCCUCAAGGUCCAUUCUCGGUCAUUACUGCCGCUAUCUAGGGACUAAGACUCCACAAGGAGCCUUUGGGAGACUCUUCAUAUUUAAACAAGCAGCCACCAGGAAGGUUUGAAGAGUUGGUACAUUUCUGGAUGUGGAGUGGGGCCCUGGUGGCGUGUGGGUGGGACACAGGUUCCUCUUCUCUAACUGGUUCUGCCCUUCCCUGUCCCCUGCCCUUGUGUAACAGUAACCACAGCAUAUUUGAAUUUCAAAAUACUCAAACAGUGAUUUCUUACUAAAUUCUGUGUCUUAGCUCAAUCCCUACAGCAGAGAUGAUUCCAUUAUUUAUUUAUCUUUUGUUACAAAUGAAAACUGAAGCUCCGCUAAGCUUGUGUCUGGCUAAGCUUGUGUCUGGCUAAGGUGGUGUCUUGCUCUGGACCCUAUAGUAGAUAGCAGAGCUGUCUCUCAAUCUCAGAUGUGACCUCCAAAUCUUUACCUCUAACUCCUGUGUCAACCCAAGGGGCAGGCUCCUCACUGACUGUGGGGAGGGGAGGAGACUCAGUCAAGCUGAAACCAGCUCUGUGGUCCCCUGGCCUAAAUCCUGAAGAUGGCUACCACAUGGCCUAUCCUGCUUCCUGCUCCUUGCCUUCCCAGAGCACUGGGCCUCCUUGUAGUUGCAGACAGGCUAGCAUCCACCUGCAGAGGAGCCAGAUUGGUGGGAAGAGGGAACUGUUGUAGUGAUGGGCCAGGCUUCUUCCCCUAUUCUAGGGCUCCCUAUUAGACACAACGACAUCACUGUUCCCCAUUCUUGCACGAGAUUUACUGAUGCUAAAUUUAACAACGCCUGGAACCUUGAUCAAUACCUGGGCAUCCAGAAGAACAAGGAGCCAUAGGGCAAGAAGGGAACCAAUGUAGGGCUAUCAUGGGCUAAAGAAUGGAGAGGUAUUUGGCUCAUGGUUCAAGAGA